UCAAAAUCCAAACGUAAUUAAAUUAAACCAAGGUAACAGUGGAGCGUCUAAGACAUCAAAUCAAAACUGAAAGGAAAGCCUCGCGAACAAGCAAGGCAUACCGACCAGAACUGAAGAAGCGGAAACACUCAACAAAGUUCAACUGCUAUCAGAAACUAAGAACCUGAAAUAAUAUUAAAAAAUGAGGGUGAGUUCAACCAACUCAGUGAGGGAAUAACAUUUAAUAUACAUUUUAGAUAUUAAUAAUUUGUAAGAUGAUUUAUCUUAAUAUACAUAUACAUAUACUUACUAAACAUAUUAUCAUAACGUAACAUAUUAUCAUAACGUAGUGGAUUACAUGUCAGAGAUCAGAUGACACCCGAAGGUGACCAGAUGACACCCGUCGGUGACCAGAUGACACCCGUCGGUGACCACUGUGGGAUGAUCAAUCGCCACAGGCUGAUGCCUCUCUCACCAGCUAGGUAACAGAAUACUAUGUGCACACAGGCUAACUAUUCUCCGUUAGCAUGGAGUACUGACAAGUCCCAUAUCAAGGCAUAACAGAUAUUCACAUAAUCAUCAAAGAAGCGUAUAUCAUAUCAAAUAGAAUUUACUUUACAGAUUGCGAGUGCAAAUUCAAGAAUAAAUGAGUACUCGGAAAAUAAAGCAACAUAUAUAAAUAUUCAAGAAAUUUACUAGUUGUACUCAUUGUAUAAUCAACAUACAUAUUUAUUUAUAUUAUAUGCAUAUUAAAGAUUAUUCCACUCACCCGGAAAAUAUAGAACUAAAAGGAAUGUCGGACGAAAUACCCGAAAAUCCUGUUAAGGAUCGUUAGGAGAACCUACAUAAAUAUAUGAAAUAUACUCAAAAACAAAUCAAACAAAAGAUCCCAAUGCAUAAAAUAAAACCGGGCUUAAUCUCCCAAGUUUAGGGACUAAAACAACAAUUUUCCAAAACAAGGACCAAAACGUAAUUUUACCAAAAUUUGAGGACCGAAUUGUAAAUAUAUAACCAUACUGAAAUUAUGACCAUAAUUAAUCCUCAAUUCUGUCCAGGAUAUAUCAUUAUGCUCCAAGGACCAUUCUGGAACUUUACCAAAUUUUUAGGGUCAAAUUAUACUUUUUGUCAAAUUGGAGGACCAAACUGAAAAUAUUAAUUAUACUGGAAUUUUGUCCUUAAAUCAUCCUCAGUUCUGUUCAGAACCUCAAUUUAUGCCCCAGGGACCAAUCUGUAAAAUUUCCAAAGUUCGGGGACUAAACUGCAAUUUCACAAAUUGAGGGACCAAACUGAAUUUUCGUCAUCUUCAACCUCAAACCCAGAAUUUCAACAGAUCACCUACUGUUAGUUCCAGAUUUAUACCUCAACUUCAUCAUUCAAUUCAACCAUAACUCAAAAUCAUCAUAUUUCUCUACAAUCUCUCCAAUUCAACUAAAUAAUCAAAUACCCACAUCAAUCAACCCCUUAAUUCAAACUAAUUCAUCAAUAAACUCAAAAUUCAAAACUCUAAAAUUAAUCAAAAACCGAAAUUUAAAGCUAAAGAAAACAUAUUAUACAUAUUCAAGCAUAAUUCUUACCCUUUUACUUGUUUUCUUCAACCUUUUCCUUUUUCCCUUAUUUUCCCCUCUUUUCUCUUCUUCUUCUUCUUCCUCUCUUCUCUCCUGCCGGUUCUCUCUCCAAAUUCAGAUCCUUCUUUUUUUUUUUUUUUUUUUUCUUCUUAUAUAUAUUUAUCAACUAUUGGUCAAUUACCACACUACCCUUCAAUCAUUUAUACCCUCUUUUAAGCCUCCAAGGGCUUUAUUGUAUUUUCUCAUUCCUUUUUAUUACAAAACAUCACAAUCUCCCCACCUUAUAAAAGUUUCGUCCUCGAAACUUAAUAGAAAAGAUUAAAUACUUACCGAGAUUAUCGAAACGAUGAGGAUAUGCCGACCUCCCUGUCCCCUGUUAGGACCUGUAUCAGACCGCUGAUGAAAAGAGAACUGAUUUUCCACCUUGGGCCUCUUGACCGAACCCACUGAUAAUUCAUCCUCUAACUCUCGUGCCUCAAUAGCACGGGCACGAUCCACUACGGCCGAGUACGUCUUAAACUCAUGAGCCCCAAUAGCUUUGAAUAGGUAGUUAUUAAGACCCCGAACAAACCUCUUGAUCUUCCUCUCCUGAGUUGGUACCAAAUACCCAGCAAACCUGGACAACCGCGUGAAUUCAACUUCAUACUCUGUCACAGUCAAGUCACCCUGAACCAACUUCUCAAACUCAUAUGAUCUAGCUUCCCUCACACUUUCAGGUAGAAAACGCUCCAAAAAUAUCUCAGAAAAUUCCUUCCACACCAUCGGUGGAGAACUAGCUGCCCUUUCACCUCUCUUGGACUCGUACCAGUUCAAAGCCACCUCGCCUUCUAGCCUAAAAGAUGCUAAAGUCACUGCACGAUGAUCUGUGCACCCCAUGGCCUCACACCUACGCCACACUGCAUCUAAAAACUGUUGUGGGUCCUCAGAGUUAUCUACACCCUUAAAGGUAGGAGGUGCCAACUUAAGGAACUCUGCCAAUGGCACUUUCACCCCAUGCACAGUAUGGGAAGUCGAAGAUGCACUCUUAUCCUUCUCCUUUUCUUUCUCAGUUAAAAGGUUAGCCAGGGUCUGCAUGGCCUGUCCAAUUUUAUCCAAAGCACUAUCAGUAUAAGACACCCUAUCAUGGGAUUCCUGCUCCUGGUUCUUACCAACAUCCAGACCACCAACAUCUAGACCAUAGUCCCCCUCAAAUUCAAUCUCAUCCUGAACUUCUACUUCCAUUGGUUGAGGCGAAGGGUUUCUAACUCUCUUUUUGCGCCUCUCCUUCCUAAGCUGAGCGAUAGGAAUGUCCUCUUGAUCAUCGGUAUUAAUUACAUGUUUAGCCCUCGGCAUAUUUCUAAAAAAAAAAUGCAUUUUUAUCACAAGGAAGAAGACAUGCUUGAUGAGAAUUCAAAAUUUCAAAAACAACAAACAAAACGAUACGGAUCCUAAUGCUCCACUUAUUACAAAUUUUGAAUAAUAAUAAAUAAAUAAAAUAGAUUACGAGAUUUUAAUAAAACCAUGCUCUGAUACCACCUUUGUCACGACCCGAAUCCCGGAUCCGUGACCGGCAACGUAGGAGCGGUGUCGAAAGGACACCUCACCUACGCUAAGCCUCAGAACAGACAUAUCAAAAGAACAAUUUGUUCAAAAAUACGCAGCGGCUCAUAAUAUUCAGAAAUAUUAUAUUAUUCAAAUACUGAUGAAACCGAAAGAUAGUUAUUAAAACAAAAAUAAUAAUUCAUAAUACUCAUUACAUUGUCAAAAUCCAAACGUAAUUAAUUAAACAAGGUAACAGUGGAGCGUCUAAGACAUCAAAUCAAAACUGAAAGGAAAGCCUCGCGAACAAGCAAGGCAUACCGACCAGAACUGAAGAAGCGGAAACACUCAACAAAGUCCCAGAAACUAAGAACCUGAAAUAAUAUUAAAAAAUGAGGGUGAGUUCAACCAACUCAGUGAGGGAAUAACAUUUAAUAUACAUUUCAGAUAUUAAUAAUUUGCAAGAUGAUUUAUCUUAAUAUACAUAUACAUAUACUUAUAAACAUAUUAUCAUAACGUAACAUAUUAUCAUAACGUAGUGGAUUACAUGUCAGAGAUCAGAUGACACCCGAAGGUGACCAGAUGACACCCGUCGGUGACCAGAUGACACCCGUCGGUGACCACUGUGGGAUGAUCAAUCGCCACAGGCUGAUGCCUCUCUCACCAGCUAGGUAACAGAAUACUAUGUGCACACAGGCUAACUAUUCUCCGUUAGCAUGGAGUACUGACAAGUCCCAUAUCAAGGCAUAACAGAUAUUCACAUAAUCAUCAAAGAAGCGUAUAUCAUAUCAAAUAGAAUUUACUUUAUCAGAUUGCGAGUGCAAAUUCAAGAAUAAAUGAGUACUCGGAAAAUAAAGCAACAUAUAUAAAUAUUCAAGAAAUUUACUAGUUGUACUCAUUGUAUAAUCAACAUACAUAUUUAUUUAUAUUAUAUGCAUAUUAAAGAUUAUUCCACUCACCCGGAAAAUAUGAACUAAAGGAAUGUCAGGACAAAACCCGAAAAUCCGUUAAGGAUCGUUAGGAGAACCUACAAUAAAUAUAUGAAAUAUACUCAAAAACAAAUCAAACAAAAGAUCCCAAUGCAUAAAAUAAACCGGGCUUAAUCUCCCAAGUUUAGGGACUAAAACACAAUUUUCCAAAACAGGACCAAAACGUAAUUUUACCAAAAUUUGAGGACCGAAUUGUAAAUAUAUAACCAUACUGAAAUUCUGACCAUAAUUAAUCCUCAAUUCUGUCCAGGAUAUAUCAUUAUGCUCCAAGGACCAUUCUGGAACUUUACCAAAUUUUUAGGGUCAAAUUAUACUUUUUGUCAAAUUGGAGGACCAAACUGAAAAUAUUAAUUAUACUGGAAUUUUGUCCUUAAAUCAUCCUCAGUUCUGUUCAGAACCUCAAUUUAUGCCCCAGGGACCAAUCUGUAAAAUUUCCAAAGUUCGGGGACUAAACUGCAAUUUCACAAAUUGAGGGACCAAACUGAAUUUUCGUCAUCUUCAACCUCAAACCCAGAAUUUCAACAGAUCACCUACUGUUAGUUCCAGAUUUAUACCUCAACUUCAUCAUUCAAUUCAACCAUAACUCAAAAUCAUCAUAUUUCUCUACAAUCUCUCCAAUUCAACUAAAUAAUCAAAUACCCACAUCAAUCAACCCCUUAAUUCAAACUAAUUCAUCAAUAAACUCAAAAUUCAAAACUCUAAAAUUAAUCAAAAACCGAAAUUUAAAGCUAAAGAAAACAUAUUAUACAUAUUCAAGCAUAAUUCUUACCCUUUUACUUGUUUUCUUCAACCUUUUCCUUUUUCCCUUAUUUUCCCCUCUUUUCUCUUCUUCUUCUUCUUCUUCUUCUUCCUCUCUUCUCUCCUGCCGGUUCUCUCUCCAAAUUCAG
rnacentral:lncRNA from 1 species